rnacentral:rRNA from 1 species
GAUGAACGCUGGCAGAAUGCUUAACACAUGCAAGUCUUUGGCGAAGCUGUGCUUGCACAGCCUAGCCAAGGCGGACGGGUGAGUAACGCGUAAGGAACUUGCCCUGCAGUCAGGGAUAACAGACGGAAACGACUGAUAAGACCUGGUAAAGUCAGGCGGACUCAUGUCCAGCCUGAUGAAAAGAGAUGCUGCAGGAGAGCCUUGCGUCCUAUUAGCUUGUUGGUGGGGUAACGGCCCACCAAGGCGAUGAUAGGUAGCCGGCCUGAGAGGGUGGACGGCCACAAGGGGACUGAGAUACGGCCCUUACUCCUACGGGAGGCAGCAGUGGGGAAUAUUGGACAAUGGGGGCAACCCUGAUCCAGCAAUUCUGUGUGCACGAUGAAGGUUUUCGGAUUGUAAAGUGCUUUCAGCAGGGAAGAAAAAAUGACGGUACCUGCAGAAGAAGCGACGGCUAAAUACGUG